GGCUUGUCACCUCGGUGGCGAGUGGCGAACGGGUGAGUAAUGCAUCGGAACGUGCCCAUGAGUGGGGGAUAACGCAUCGAAAGAUGUGCUAAUACCGCAUAUACUCUGAGGAGUAAAGUAGGGGAUCGAAAGACCUUAUGCUUUUGGAGCGGCCGAUGUCUGAUUAGCUAGUUGGUGGGGUAAUUGCCCACCAAGGCGACGAUCAGUAGUUGGUCUGAGAGGACGACCAGCCACACUGGGGACUGAGACACGGCCCAGACUCCUACGGGAGGCAGCAGUGGGGAAUUUUGGACAAUGGGCGCAAGCCUGAUCCAGCAAUGCCGCGUGAGUGAAGAAGGCCUUCGGGUUGUAAAGCUCUUUCAGUUGAGAAGAAAAGAUUGUAACUAAUAAUUACAGUUCAUGACGGUAUCAACAGAAGAAGCACCGGCUAACUACGUG
rnacentral:rRNA from 1 species